rnacentral:rRNA from 1 species
GACGGAGGGUGCAAGCGUUGUUCGGAAUUACUGGGCGUAAAGGGCGCGUAGGCGGCGGGGUAAGUCUGGUGUGAAAUCUCGGAGCUCAACUCCGAAAUUGCACUGGAUACUGCUCUGCUAGAGGGCUGGAGAGGAGAUCGGAAUUCACGGUGUAGCAGUGAAAUGCGUAGAUAUCGUGAGGAAGACCAGUGGCGAAGGCGGAUCUCUGGACAGCUCCUGACGCUGAGGCGCGAAGGCUAGGGGAGCAAACGGG